rnacentral:pre_miRNA from 7 species
GGUCUAGUUCUGUGUGGAAGACUAGUGAUUUUGUUGUUUUUAGAUAAUUAAAUUGACAACAAAUCACAGUCUGCCAUAUGGCACAGAUCA